rnacentral:rRNA from 1 species
CCUACGGGAGGCAGCAGUGAGGAAUAUUGGUCAAUGGACGAGAGUCUGAACCAGCCAAGUAGCGUGAAGGAUGACUGCCCUAUGGGUUGUAAACUUCUUUUAUAUGGGACUAAAAUGUUCCACGUGUGGGAUUUUGUAUGUACCCUAUGAAUAAGGAUCGGCUAACUCCGUGCCAGCAGCCGCGGUAAUACGGAGGAUCCGAGCGUUAUCCGGAUUUAUUGGGUUUAAAGGGAGUAUAGGUGGAUUGUUAAGUCAGUUGUGAAAGUUUGCGGCUCAACCGUAAAAUUGCAGUUGAAACUGGCAGGCUUGAGUACAGUAGAGGUGGGCGGAAUUCGUGGUGUAGCGGUGAAAUGCUUAGAUAUCACGAAGAACUCCGAUUGCGAAGGCAGCUCACUGGACUGCAACUGACACUGAGGCUCGAAAGUGUGGGUAUCAAACAGGAUUAGAUACCCGUGUAGUC